rnacentral:piRNA from 1 species
AUCAGCAUGGACAUUGAACAAGUGG